AAUAAUGGGAAUGAAAUUUGUUUCAUGUUUUAUGAAAGGUAUAUUUUAUUUGUAUUUACUCUGGACCAGGUAGAGUAUUGUAUUCUUCCACAAUGCCAAGAACGCUCCAAGAAACCAGUGUUUGUCCAGGCAGAUGGGUUCUACCUGCCUGGAUUAAGUGAUUUCUCAGAAGGAGAGAAAGGCAAAACCUUUUCUAAAAAUGUUACAUCCUUCUUAAAAAUCACGUCUACGAAUUAUUUAGUGACAUUUAUUAUUAUAAAUACCUGCAAAAGACAGGAAAGGCUCAGUUCAAAAGUUUAAUCCUGCCAAGAGGAAGAGGACGAAAUCAAAUUUCGUGGCAAAUAAAUUUGAGAAUUUUGCACAAAAUCUCAAAGUUUCCCACCUGUUAAAUGGCACCAGUCAAUGACAAUGCUCCCCCAUCGCCAAUCAUUCUGACACUCAACCACAACCUAAAGGCGAAAUUGGUCUUCUUCUGGCGCCAAUAUCCCACAGGGACUAAGAUCUGGCAGUAUUUUCCAGACGUAACGCAUGUGGAAAACGUCGUGGAAAUAUUGCAAAUCUUCUCUGAGUCGAGGAGUUUUUACUUCGAAAAAAUUAUGGAGACAGCGCGCCAUCUUUUUGAAAAAAAUCCUGACAUGCCCCACUCCGAAAUUCGGAUUGCGGAAAAUUCCGACAUGUUCAAGACGCUACUUUGCUACUUUGACCGCUACACAGUAUCACACCCCCGGACCGUUUCCACUUUUUUAUGAAUUGCGCGGUACAAGAUUUUUUUGCCAAGUUGCAAAAUGGCGAAGUUGACGUGGCAAUGUGGAAGAAGAAGAUCUGUCAGAUUGUGUCUAAAUUAGAGAAAGACCCGCCGGAGUGGUUGCAAUCGGUGGAUUUUAUGGAGUGGGUACACCUCGGAGGGGACGCGCCUAUACGUUAAAUUUUUAUUUUUCUUGUCUUAAUUUUGAAGUUGUAUUAGUUAAUUGCGAAAUAAUUCGACAGGUUAAUUUUAUUAAUUAUUUUAAAUGUUAAGAUAUUAAAAAUUAAAAUCGAU